UUUCUGGGUUGCCGUCCUCAAGCUCUGAGCUCGAAUAAACUCUAUGCUUAGAGAAUCUCAUUAUUUAAGGUUGACACAUCGUAUGUUAAAUAUCAAAAAUAGCAUCCAAAGCACUGUGCACAGUGUCACAGUGUAAAUCACUAACUUGGUCAUAAAUCGGUAUUUAUCGAUGUCGAUGCUGAGGUUCAACACAAAGGCGGUCUGGAAGGAAUCACAUCAAAAUGUCGACAGUGGCAACUGUGCUCAGUGGACUCUGGUCUUAACCUUGCUGUUACUGUUGGGAUAUUCCACGGAGGACCUCAUGCGGACCUGGCCUACGGAGGUGCUCACUGGAGACACUGGCAGGCAUCCCACGGAGCAGCUUGCCACGUACAGCUCAGCGACACACCCCAGGUGUCCCAAAUAAUCCACAACAAACUGAAAUUGUUUCUUUGAAGAGCUGUGAAGCUGCCCUGCUUAUCAGUAGAUCACGCGGCCUGCCAUCUUUGCUCCCUGCCGGCUGCUCAGCAGCUUGUCCCAAGCAGAGGAGAACAAAGCCCACUGGUCCCAUGCAUUGGAAAUUCCUUUCUUUUCUCCUCUCUCCCUUUUCCAUUUUGCCUAUAUAGAUGAGAUCAAUCUUUGAUUGCUCCUCCGAGUGUACAAAUAAAAUAAUGUGCAAACACA